rnacentral:rRNA from 1 species
AUGAACGCUAGCUACAGGCUUAACACAUGCAAGUCGAGGGGCAGCAUUUUAGUUUGCUUGCAAACUAAAGAUGGCGACCGGCGCACGGGUGAGUAACACGUAUCCAACCUGCCGAUAACUCGGGGAUAGCCUUUCGAAAGAAAGAUUAAUAUCCGAUAGUAUAUUAAAACCGCAUGGUUUUACUAUUAAAGAAUUUCGGUUAUCGAUGGGGAUGCGUUCCAUUAGUUUGUUGGCGGGGUAACGGCCCACCAAGACUACGAUGGAUAGGGGUUCUGAGAGGAAGGUCCCCCACAUUGGAACUGAGACACGGUCCAAACUCCUACGGGAGGCAGCAGUGAGGAAUAUUGGUCAAUGGACGAGAGUCUGAACCAGCCAAGUAGCGUGAAGGAUGACUGCCCUAUGGGUUGUAAACUUCUUUUAUAUGGGAAUAAAGUAUUCCACGUGUGGGAUUUUGUAUGUACCAUAUGAAUAAGGAUCGGCUAACUCCGUGCCAGCAGCCGCGGUAAUACGGAGGAUCCGAGCGUUAUCCGGAUUUAUUGGGUUUAAAGGGAGCGUAGGUGGAUUGUUAAGUCAGUUGUGAAAGUUUGCGGCUCAACCGUAAAAUUGCAGUUGAAACUGGCAGUCUUGAGUACAGUAGAGGUGGGCGGAAUUCGUGGUGUAGCGGUGAAAUGCUUAGAUAUCACGAAGAACUCCGAUUGCGAAGGCAGCUCACUAGACUGCAACUGACACUGAUGCUCGAAAGUGUGGGUAUCAAACAGGAUUAGAUACCCUGGUAGUCCACACAGUAAACGAUGAAUACUCGCUGUUUGCGAUAUACAGUAAGCGGCCAAGCGAAAGCAUUAAGUAUUCCACCUGGGGAGUACGCCGGCAACGGUGAAACUCAAAGGAAUUGACGGGGGCCCGCACAAGCGGAGGAACAUGUGGUUUAAUUCGAUGAUACGCGAGGAACCUUACCCGGGCUUAAAUUGCAUUUGAAUAAUCUGGAAACAGGUUAGCCGCAAGGCAAAUGUGAAGGUGCUGCGUGGUUGUCGUCAGCUCGUGCCGUGAGGUGUCGGCUUAAGUGCCAUAACGAGCGCAACCCUUAUCUUUAGUUACUAACAGGUUAUGCUGAGGACUCUAGAGAGACUGCCGUCGUAAGAUGUGAGGAAGGUGGGGAUGACGUCAAAUCAGCACGGCCCUUACGUCCGGGGCUACACACGUGUUACAAUGGGGGGUACAGAAGGCAGCUACCUGGCGACAGGAUGCUAAUCCCAAAAACCUCUCUCAGUUCGGAUCGAAGUCUGCAACCCGACUUCGUGAAGCUGGAUUCGCUAGUAAUCGCGCAUCAGCCAUGGCGCGGUGAAUACGUUCCCGGGCCUUGUACACACCGCCCGUCAAGCCAUGAAAGCCGGGGGUACCUGAAGUACGUAACCGCAAGGAGCGUCCUAGGGUAAAACUGGUAAUUGGGGCU